rnacentral:rRNA from 1 species
AUUGAACGCUGGCGGCAGGCCUAACACAUGCAAGUCGAGCGAGCGGCUGACGGGUGAGUAAUGUCUGGGAAACUGCCCGAUGGAGGGGGAUAACUACUGGAAACGGUAGCUAAUACCGCAUACCAUCAGAUGUGCCCAGAUGGGAUUAGCUUGUAGGUGGGGUAACGGCCCACCUAGGCGACGAUCCCUAGCUGGUCUGAGAGGAUGACAAACCACAGCGAGACAGAGACACGGUCCAGAAUGCUACGGGAGGGAGCAGGGAGGAAAAUUGCACAGUGGGCGCAGGCCUAAUACAACCAAGCCGCGUGUGUGACAAAGGCCUAUGGGUUGUAAAGCACUUUCAGCGGGGAGGCGUUACCCGAAGAAGAAGCGCCGGCUAACUCCGUGCCAGCAGCCGCGGUAAUAC